rnacentral:rRNA from 1 species
UACGUAGGGUGCGAGCGUUAAUCGGAAUUACUGGGCGUAAAGCGUGCGCAGGCGGUUUUACAAGCCAGAUGUGAAAUCCCCGGGCUUAACCUGGGAACUGCAUUUGGGACUGUAAGGCUAGAGUGUGUCAGAGGGAGGUGGAAUUCCACGUGUAGCAGUGAAAUGCGUAGAUAUGUGGAGGAACAUCGAUGGCGAAGGCGCUCUACUGGGCCAUUACUGACGCUGAUGGACGAAAGCUAGGGGAGCGAAAGGG